AGACCCGAAACCCGGUGAUCUAGCCAUGGGCAGGUUGAAGGUUGGGUAACACUAACUGGAGGACCGAACCGACUAAUGUUGAAAAAUUAGCGGAUGACCUGUGGCUGGGGGUGAAAGGCCAAUCAAACCGGGAGAUAGCUGGUUCUCCCCGAAAGCUAUUUAGGUAGCGCCUCGUGAAUUCAUCUCCGGGGGUAGAGCACUGUUUCGGCUAGGGGGCCAUCCCGGCUUACCAACCCGAUGCAAACUGCGAAUACCGGAGAAUGUUAUCACGGGAGACACACGGCGGGUGCUAACGUCCGUCGUGAAGAGGGAAACAACCCAGACCGCCAGCUAAGGUCCCAAAGUCAUGGUUAAGUGGGAAACGAUGUGGGAAGGCCCAGACAGCCAGGAUGUUGGCUUAGAAGCAGCCAUCAUUUAAAGAAAGCGUAAUAGCUCACUGGUCGAGUCGGCCUGCGCGGAAGAUGUAACGGGGCUAAACCAUGCACCGAAGCUGCGGCAGCGAACGUAUCACUUAAAGCGAUUCAGCGGGUUACGAUUGACGGAGCGAAGCGACGUCAAAGCGUAUACAAAGUCGAGUCGGUUUAAGGAUACGUUCGUUGGGUAGGGGAGCGUUCUGUAAGCCUGCGAAGGUGGCCUGUGAG
rnacentral:rRNA from 1 species